GACGAACGCUGGCGGCGUGCUUAACACAUGCGAGUCGAACGGAAAGGCCCUGCUUUUGUGGGGUGCUCGAGUGGCGAACGGGUGAGUAACACGUGAGUAACCUGCCCUUUACUUUGGGAUAACUUCAGGAAACUGGGGCUAAUACCGGAUAGGAGCUCCUGCUGCAUGGUGGGGGUUGGAAAGUUUCGGCGGUUGGGGAUGGACUCGCGGCUUAUCAGCUUGUUGGUGGGGUAGUGGCUUACCAAGGCUUUGACGGGUAGCCGGCCUGAGAGGGUGACCGGCCACAUUGGGACUGAGAUACGGCCCAGACUCCUACGGGAGGCAGCAGUGGGGAAUAUUGCACAAUGGGCGGAAGCCUGAUGCAGCAACGCCGCGUGCGGGAUGACGGCCUUCGGGUUGUAAACCGCUUUCGCCUGUGACGAAGCGUGAGUGACGGUAAUGGGUAAAGAAGCACCGGCUAACUACGUG
rnacentral:rRNA from 1 species